rnacentral:lncRNA from 1 species
UGUUACUUGGAGCAUCUAUUGAUACCACUUCCUUUGGAGCUAAGGGUCAUUGUUCUGAGGUCACUCUGAUGAGAUAUGAUGCAUGGAGUAGGUUGCUUCCUUUUUGGUGUUGUGUUGGUAUCAUACAAGUCAUCUCUGGUGUCAUCUAGUCAUUAUUUUUGUUGUGCUAGUCGUCGCUUUGAUCUUGCUAGUCAUUGCUUUGAUCAUUGUUCUAGUGUAAGGAAGCAUAAGGUUGUUAUAGUCAUUUAAGGUUGCAAUUACACACAGAUCUCCCACAUGAUGUUAAAAAAGGUCGAAGAAGUGACAACAUUGGCAAUAUCCUUAGCUUUGGAUAAUAAAAAAGUGUAGAGAAAAGAAAAAAAUAUAUGGAAGAAGGCACAAUCAACCUAUAUUUCUUAUUUCUUAUAGCAGGACAAAAUAGAACAAAUAUUCUUACAGUGGGACUAUCAAAGUGGAAGCUCUAGGUUUGGGUCCCUAUAGCGAUUGUUGUUCAAUUUGUCAUAGCACCACACUAUCAAGGCGGAAGCUAAGGGUUUGAGCCCC